CUCAUACACUUGGGGAGCCUCGCACGAGGCUGAGAGGUGCCGGGCACCGACCCAUCGAACCUGAUCCGGGUCAUGCCGGCGUAGGGAAGGGUAGAGUGAAGCGG
rnacentral:ncRNA from 17 species